AGAGUUUGAUCCUGGCUCAGGACGAACGCUGGCGGCGUGCUUAACACAUGCAAGUCGAACGAGAGUCUACUGAAAGAGUUUUCGGACAAUGGAUGUAGAGGAAAGUGGCGGACGGGUGAGUAACGCGUGAGGAACCUGCCUUGAAGAGGGGGACAACAGUUGGAAACGACUGCUAAUACCGCAUGACGCAUAGGGGUCGCAUGAUCUUUAUGCCAAAGAUUUAUCGCUUCAAGAUGGCCUCGCGUCUGAUUAGCUAGUUGGCGGGGUAACGGCCCACCAAGGCGACGAUCAGUAGCCGGACUGAGAGGUUGAACGGCCACAUUGGGACUGAGAUACGGCCCAGACUCCUACGGGAGGCAGCAGUGGGGAAUAUUGGGCAAUGGGCGCAAGCCUGACCCAGCAACGCCGCGUGAAGGAAGAAGGCUUUCGGGUUGUAAACUUCUUUUAAGAGGGAAGAGCAGAAGACGGUACCUCUAGAAUAAGCCACGGCUAACUACGUGCCAGCAGCCGCGGUAAUACGUAGGUGGCAAGCGUUGUCCGGAUAUACUGGGUGUAAAGGGCGUGCAGCCGGGUCUGCAAGUCAGAUGUGAAAUCCAUGGGCUCAACCCAUGAACUGCAUUUGAAACUGUAGAUCUUGAGUGUCGGAGGGGCAAUCGGAAUUCCUAGUGUAGCGGUGAAAUGCGUAGAUAUUAGGAGGAACACCAGUGGCGAAGGCGGAUUGCUGGACGAUAACUGACGGUGAGGCGCGAAAGUGUGGGGAGCAAACAGGAUUAGAUACCCUGGUAGUCCACACUGUAAACGAUGAAUACUAGGUGUGCGGGGACUGACCCCCUGCGUGCCGCAGUAAACACAAUAAGUAUUCCACCUGGGGAGUACGAUCGCAAGGUUGAAACUCAAAGGAAUUGACGGGGGCCCGCACAAGCGGUGGAUUAUGUGGUUUAAUUCGAAGCAACGCGAAGAACCUCACCAGGGUUUGACAUCCUGCUAACGAAGUAGAGAUACAUUAGGUGCCCUUCGGGGAAAGCAGAGACAGGUGGUGCAUGGUUGUCGUCAGCUCGUGUCGUGAGAUGUUGGGUUAAGUCCCGCAACGAGCGCAACCCCUAUUGUUAGUUGCUACGCAAGAGCACUCUAGCGAAACUGCCGUUGACAAAACGGAGGAAGGUGGGGACGACGUCAAAUCAUCAUGCCCCUUAUAUCCUGGGCUACACACGUAAUACAAUGGCGGUCAACAGAGGGAAGCAAAGCCGCGAGGCAGAGCAAACCCCCAAAAGCCGUCCCAGUUCGGAUUGUAGGCUGCAACUCGCCUGCAUGAAGUCGGAAUCGCUAGUAAUCGCGGAUCAGCAUGCCGCGGUGAAUACGUUCCCGGGCCUUGUACACACCGCCCGUCACACCAUGAGAGUCGGGAACACCCGAAGUCCGUAGCCUAACCUGAAAAGGAGGGCGCGGCCGAAGGUGGGUUCGAUAAUUGGGGUGAAGUCGUAACAAGGUA
rnacentral:rRNA from 1 species